GAGAGUGUGUGUUGUUAAAGAGGGCCCAUCCAUUGCCAAUGCGCUGCGGUCUGGAAAUCAAGACGACAACAAUCGUUCACACUUUCAAACGCAUCCAACAUUGGUGAUGCACUUAGAUGCAUGAUUUUGUUAAAUUAGAAUGAGGAAGGAUAUUUUCUUCAGUUUGUUUCUUGUAUAGAUCCAUAAUCUCGUGUUUUAAAUUCUUUUAUCUGUAAUCUAUAAUACUAUAUAAAGAAUUUCAGUGGACAUAGAUGGAAUUUACCCUCACAAUUUUAAGACGCCACAAGAGUUCCCAAGUUAAUUACCCUCCACUUUUGUCCCCUAUUUCCAAAUAUGCUGCCCCUUAAAACCCUAUUGCGUGCGUCGUGCCCUUCCGUCUUCAAUAGCAAAUGAAGCGUCUCGCCUUCCGGCGGUUUCCAUCACCCCCUCUACUCUAUAAUACUUUGAAUGCAAUUUAAUGGUAAAACAUAUCCCAUAUUAUCAAUGAGAGAGACAAAGAGAAACGUCAGAGAGAAGAAGAGGGGAAACCUUGCGAGGAUAAAAGGGGUCACCGGUGACAAUUCGGACCACUAUUAGGCGCGAGGGUUGUACUGGUGGAGAGCCUAGGUUAAGGCGAAAAACCACGACGAUUUCGAUCUGAGUUCACAAGUUCACCAUCCGAUCUCUAUCAUUCGUCCGACAUGCCCUUCCUCUGCUCUCUCUGAUUCGAUAUCACUUCUGACUAUCAGAUCUCUGUUCGAUUUCUACUUUCGGUUUCUAAAUCCAAUCCUUCCAUCUGUUUUUCUGAUUCACUCAUGGUGAAUUAGAUAUCUUGAUUGGAUACUCAUGAACAGCAAAUCCGGCAACUACAAUCUGAUGUUACAGAGAUCAAGGCGUCUCUCUUGGUAUUUAAUGAAGCUCGUGUGGAAUCCGCUGAAUUCCACAAAGUUGUUUUAGCGUGGAUGAAGUCGCAGGAGAAGAAACAUAUUGAUGAUUCAUCUGGAUCUGGAUCCUCAGGUAUGGUGUUCUCGACAUCCGACCCUACAUCUGGCCCUUCUGAUCCUCCGUCUGGCUUACCAUGGGCUGUGAAGAAGGUGAAAUUGUUUGAGUUCUCUGGUUUUGAUCCGCAAUGCUGGAUCCAGAAGGAAAAUUUGUAUUUCGAUCUCAAUCAUGCCGCUGAUGCUUCUUGAUUGCAGCUUGCUCAAUUGAGUAUGAUAGGUGUUGCUCAACACUGGUUUACGAUCAUCACUCAGGUUCAACAGUCUCUCUCUUGGCUUGAAUUUCAAUCGGAAGUGCUGCAACGUUUUAGUGGCCAGGAAAUUCAAAAUCCGUAUGAACAACUAGCCAGGAUUCAGCAAUCCAAAUCAAUUUAUGAUUACAUCAACGAUUUCGAGUAUCUAUUGUCCUUGGUCCCUAGGUUGCCUAAAUCUCAAGCACUGGGUUACUUUGGUGCUGGUUUAAAAUCUGAUGUGAAGCAAUGGGUACGAUUGCAUUGCCCCCACUCUCGAUUAGACGCUAUGUAUUUGGCUAAGGAUAUGGAAUCUAUGUUACGCCCUUCUGAAACACCGUUGAUAACUCGUUUCCGAUACCUUCAGCCGUUUGGGUCGCAUACCUCUGGGUCGGGGGAUGGGCUUUUCUGUUUGGGCCAUUCUGCCCCACUCUUCGUUACGUCUUAAGACCCUUGAUUCAGUUUCCACAGCCUAGUCCAACUCCAAUCGUUCCAGUUCUGCCUCAAAGGCUGGUAUUCCUCCUUCGACUCUGAGCCAGGUUUUUCAGCGGGACAAGGGGGUUCGUGCGCUUUCUCGUACUGAGUGGGAGGAUCGUAAGAAGAAGGGAUUGUGUUUUCGUUGUGGUCAACAGUAUGGGCCGACUCACAAAUGCCCUGAGGGGACCCUUCAGGUUUUGUUAUUGGGUGAGGAUGAGUAUGAUGUUAUGGAGGGGGCUAAUUUUGUGCUGGAAAAUCAGGCUUCCCAUGAUAAUCUGCAGGCAGGGGUUUUUCGUGAUUCGGACCACUCCAUUUGCAAGUCUUGGGGUCAAGACUUAAUUGAUGGGGGUAGUAGUGAUACAUUUUUACCUCAAAGGAUUUACCUCAAUAGUAUAUGUUAAUUCUAUAAGGGGCAAUGUGAAAGUUCUAAAUAGGAUUAAGAGUUUGUUAGAUGAAUAUUAGUAUAAAUAGUAAUGAAUAAAACGAGAGAGAAUUGAUUAAGUUUGUUAGUUUGUUAGGGCUCGUGCAUUUGCAGUGAGAGAGGGCGUAGCCCUAGAAUUAUCUCUGUAAUUUCCGUUUCCGUUUGUUCCUAUUAAUGAAAUCUUCCUGCCAAUUUCUUAUUGUCUUUCAAUUUCAGAUCUGAGUUCACAAAUUCACCUUCCGAUCUCUAUCAUGCUGCUUUGUUGAAGAACUCAUCUUUUGAUUCUCAAACAAAAUGUCUGGAAAUGUCUGAUUCCAUUAAGAUGAUUUCUCUGGACGCUGGAAUGUUCAGAUUCAGCCUAGCAACAAGGUUGUAACUACUUUGUCUUAUGCUUUUAUGGAACCAACAUCGACUUAUCAUUCCAACGGUUACCCUUCCAAUGUGUAUUAUUAUUAAGGUUUCAGUGUCUAAUGUUUAGUGGUCAGUAGGCCCGGUUUCUUAAUCGUAUGGAUCUUUUGUAGGUUAUGAUGGGAAUACAACCGAUUGGAACAUGCUUUGCGCCAGGAAACGAGAUUAUUCCUGUCAGUGAUGAAUGCGGAUAUUGAGUAGUAUCUAAAACAAUUAUGCAUUGCCAACAGAUGUAGUUGGAUUAGUUGUUGCGGUCGACCCGAUUGGCGGUAUUGUACUUGCGGUUUAUACGACUGUAAACUGGUCUGGAACUGUCAAGGAAAAUGCAGGUAGCUGCUACAAGGAUCAUUUCAGUUUUUACUUUUUUCUUUUUAUUUCCACUCAUAACAGAUCUGAUACAACACUGGCUAAAUGGGUGGGUCUCCAGGUUAGGCGGGUUGACCAAUCUCUGAAUAUUGACGAGUCUAAGUGUCUUACACUCUAACCUGAGAUCCCAUUGAUAGCAUGCAACUCAAAUCACUUAUAUAGUUUUUAUACCCUUAAUCAUUUUUUGUGUACUGUUAUGCCAAUUUUUUCUGCAGAUGUGUGGAUUCAGGUUAUGUAUCAACUUCUAGAUUCUGGGUUUAUACGAUUGAUUUUUUUUUUCAUUUUUCA